rnacentral:rRNA from 1 species
GAUGAACGCUGGCGGCGUGCCUAAUACAUGCAAGUCGAGCGAACAGACGAGGAGCUUGCUCCUCUGACGUUAGCGGCGGACGGGUGAGUAACACGUGGAUAACCUACCUAUAAGACUGGUAUAACUUCGGGAAACCGGAGCUAAUACCGUAUAAUAUAUUGAACCGCAUUGUUCAAUAGUGAAAGACGGUUUUGCUGUCACUUAUAGAUGGAUCCGCGCCGCAUUAGCUAGUUGGUAAGGUAACGGCUUACCAAGGCAACGAUGCGUAGCCGACCUGAGAGGGUGUACGGCGACACUGGGACUGAGCCACGGUACAGAGACUUAGGGGAGGCAGAAACAGGGACUGGUCGGAGCUGGGCGGAAGACUGCAGGAGCAACGAAGCGCGAGUGAUGCAGGGCUUCGGAUGGUAAAACGCUGUUAUUAGGGAAGAACAAAUGUGUAAGUAAAUAUGCCAGAAUUGACGGUACCUAAAGAGAAAGCCACGGCUAACUACGUG